rnacentral:rRNA from 1 species
UACAGGGGGUGCAAGCGUUGCUCGGAAUUACUGGGCGUAAAGCGUACGCAGGCGGACCGUUAAGUCAGGAGUGAAAGCCCGAGGCUCAACCUCGGAAAUGCUUUUGAAACUGGCGGUCUUGAGUACGGGAGAGGUGAGUGGAAUUCCUGGUGUAGAGGUGAAAUUCGUAGAUAUCAGGAGGAACACCGGUGGCGAAAGCGGCUCACUGGCCCGAUACUGACGCUCAUGUACGAAAGCGUGGGGAGCAAACAGG